CAGCCGCCGCGGUAAUACGUAGGGGGCGAGCGUUGUCCGAAGUUACUGGGCGUAAAGAGCGCGUAGGCGGGUUCUUAAGUGAGGGGUGAAAGGUUCAGGGCUCAACCCGGACACUGCCUUUCAUACUGGGAACCUUGAGUGUGGGAGAGGCGAGUGGAAUGGUCGGUGUAGCGGUGAAAUGCGUAGAUAUCGAUCGGAACACCCAUGGCGAAGGCAGCUCGCUGGCCUACAACUGACGCUGAGGAGCGAAAGCGUGGGGAGCGAACAGGAUUAGAUACCCCAGUAGUCCCUGUCUCUUAUU
rnacentral:rRNA from 1 species